AACAGCUGUAGCUCAGUGGCUGAGCUCCUGCCCUGCAUGCAAAAUGCCCCAGGUCCAAUCCCUAGUGGCGUCU